CAGUAAGAGCCCUGAGAGAUGAUCAGGUAGAUAGGUUAGAAGUGUAAGUGUGGUGACACAUGUAGCGGACUAAUACUAAUAGCUCGAGGACUUAUCCAAAA
rnacentral:rRNA from 1 species